rnacentral:rRNA from 1 species
UACAGAGGUGGCAAGCGUUGUUCGGAUUUACUGGGCGUAAAGGGUGCGUAGGCGGCCCUGCGUGUCGAAUGUGAAAGCCCACUGCUCAACGGUGGAACGGCAUUCGAAACUGCGGGGCUGGAGUGCAGAAAGGGAGAGCGGAAUUCUUGGUGUAGCGGUGAAAUGCGUUGAUAUCAAGAAGAACACCGGUGGCGAAGGCGGCUCUCUGGGAUGCAACUGACGCUGAGGCACGAGAGCUAGGGGAG